AGUUGCAGGGUAUAGACCCGAAACCCGGUGAUCUAGCCAUGGGCAGGUUGAAGGUUGGGUAACACUAACUGGAGGACCGAACCGACUAAUGUUGAAAAAUUAGCGGAUGACCUGUGGCUGGGGGUGAAAGGCCAAUCAAACC
rnacentral:rRNA from 1 species